UCGAGGAUAUUUUUCAAUGGGCGCAAGCCUGAAAAUGCGACGCCGCGUGCGGGAUGAAGGCCUUCGGGUCGUAAACCGCUGUCAGGUCGGAAGAAUACCUGUUUCGUGAAUAACGGAAUCGGUUGACGGUACGACUAAAGGAAGCCACGGCCAACUCCGUGCCAGCAGCCGCGGUAAUACGGAGGUGGCAAGCGUUGCUCGGAUUCAUUGGGUGUAAAGGGUCGGUAGGCGGUCCGGUAAGUGCCCGGUGAAAUCCCGCAGCUUAACUGCGGAACGUUCGGGUAGACUGCAGGACUUGAGGGCUGGAGAGGCAAGCGGAAUUCCCGGUGUAAGGGUGAAAUCUGUAGAUAUCGGGAGGAACACCAGUGGCGAAGGCGGCUUGCUGGACAGCACCUGACGCUGAGCGACGAAAGCGUGGGGAGCAAACAGGAUUAGAUACCCCCGUAGUCC
rnacentral:rRNA from 1 species